UCAUUUCCCAGAAUGCCUCCCAAUACUAAGCCACCUCUGACCAAGAUGAGCAGUGUCCCUAUAGGGUGUGGGCUAGCAGGAUCUACUCCCACCACAGGAAAGAUGGAGCCGGAACCAUCUUUAUCUCAUCAGAAGGAGAAAGGGAAGGGCAAAUCGGACGCGACAAGAACGGUGACCAGUGGACAUGUGGUCGUGGAUCAGUCGGAAGACACAGUCUCCAUCUCCUCCGUAGAAUCAGGUGUGUCUGUGUCACGCCGGGGGAAUGCCCUUUACAGUGAUGUAGAGGAACACUCUCAGUCCUCUAAAGACAGUGGCUAUAUCAAGUGACCAGUCUUCUACAGGUUGACAGGUUCAUUUUAAAGGUGUUUUGGUUUAGUUUAGCCAGUUGAUAUCUUCUGUAUCAUUAUAAGUACCUGAGCCAGUAUUAAAUAAAAGAACCUUUUUCAUCAAGGGCCAUUUUUAACUAGGUGUAGAUGAACUUUUGUUGAUGUUAUUUUACCAUGUUGUCACUUCUUAGCAUUCAGAUAUUAACCAGGAUAUGCAUCUCAAAUGUGAAUACACAUAACUGAGUGGUAUAUUUGUAAUGUGUUAAUGUAUGGAUAUAUAGUUUUGCUUGGUGUUUGGCAAACUGGCAUUUAAAAAAAAUAUUUUUUUUAAAUUGCAUUAUUAACUUAUUGAUUUAUUUUGAAUGUUAUAAAUUGUACCCGUUAAGAAGAAAGACUCCAUUUAUAAUAAAUGGAUAUAUAAGAUACCGGUACUAUAUGUAGCUUAGAUGGAGUUUAAUUUAAUUCUGAGCUAUAAUAAUCUAGUCAGCUGGAAUUGUUGUCUUUUCAAGCCACGCAUGGAAUUUGUCGGACUGUAUGUACUUGAUGUGUGUAAUUAAAUAAAUGCAUUUAUAAAUAU
rnacentral:misc_RNA from 1 species